AUCAGCUUGACAUACCACUCAACCAUACCACAGACAAUUCCCUGAUUUUUCAGAAAAUGAGAGAAACCUUUCAGCCCCGUCAGACGCUUGUUAAUGACCCAAGCAGAGGUGUUGAUAUCCUCUCCACCUUCCCAAGAUUCCUGGAUACCAAAGGAUUGGUGGAUCAAGACUUCACCCUCCUGUUUGAUCAUGAAACAUCCUCCAGGCCCCUUCAGAAAUGGGAUUCUUCAGUCCAAAUGUCAUAAAAGAGGCGAAGUGGCUUACUUCAACACCCAGAGUUGCGUCGCUUGUUGCAGAGAGUCCCACAGGAAGUGAUCUUGAUGAGACAACAAUCAUGCUGCAGUUUGGAGGAGCAUCUCCGCAACCAGCAGGGUCGGCAGCCAUACCUCCUCGCUGUUGGGCGUCAGAAGAGCAAGAGUGACAGCUCCUACAUCACCAUGGAUAAGCAUCUCAUCCCACGGCAGGCAAACCGCUCCCUACCUUGGGGCUUUCGACAAACUUUCCAAAACCCAUUUUGUGUUUAAUUUGUCGUACGAUGCUGCGUUACUGAAUUUUUACACAUUCUUGCAGACAACAGUGUAUAACAGUGAUGUGGGGAAAAUGAAGGAGUCACCCAGAGUCAGAGACUUGAGAGCCAGACUGCUUGACCAGCUAGUACCGGUCUCACUCUCUGAGUAAGAGGCUGAAACAAUACUGACCGGUUUCAUGUGUCAGAAUUUGUAUCCCAGCAGCCAGAAGUUGAUGGUGUUAUACUGGAACCGUUGAUAAAUGAUAUAAAAUUACUGAAAACCC